GGUUAAGCGACUAAGCGUACACGGUGGAUGCCCUGGCAGUCAGAGGCGAUGAAGGACGUGCUAAUCUGCGAUAAGCGCCGGUAAGGUGAUAUGAACCGUUAUAACCGGCGAUUUCCGAAUGGGGAAACCCAGUGUGAUUCGUCACACUAUCAUUAACUGAAUCCAUAGGUUAAUGAGGCGAACCGGGGGAACUGAAACAUCUAAGUACCCCGAGGAAAAGAAAUCAACCGAGAUUCCCCCAGUAGCGGCGAGCGAACGGGGAGGAGCCCAGAGCCUGAAUCAGCAUGUGUGUUAGUGGAAGCGUCUGGAAAGGCGCGCGAUACAGGGUGACAGCCCCGUACACAAAAGCGCAUGUGCUGUGAGCUCGAUGAGUAGGGCGGGACACGUGGUAUCCUGUCUGAAUAUGGGGGGACCAUCCUCCAAGGCUAAAUACUCCUGACUGACCGAUAGUGAACCAGUACCGUGAGGGAAAGGCGAAAAGAACCCCGGCGAGGGGAGUGAAAAAGAACCUGAAACCGUGUACGUACAAGCAGUGGGAGCCCCACCACUAAGCCAGUGGUGAACUCCACAUACGCAUCCUUUGCUGAGGAUACAGUUAACGGAGCGAAAGCGACGUUCAACCGCAAAAGAAGCAGAGGGGGCUUAGUGGUGG
rnacentral:rRNA from 1 species